GAUUGAUGGUGGAAUCUGAGCAUUUGGCAGAGCACUUUGCAUCAACACCCGUGGACACCCGAGGGCGCCUACAUCUAUACUACCUCGCCCAUUAGGGCAUACGCUACGGAACUAUCUACAGACAGCAGCCACCACAACGAAGAGAACGGAUUUGGAAAAAUCCAAAACUCCUGCCGGCGGGCAAGGUGAGCAGUUUAGCCACGACCAACAUCCUCGCAGCAACGAAUCGCCACGUUGAUGCCAGCCGUGCCCACGAGGAACCACGGGGAGGACCACUCACAGUACCACGACCCUUGGUACUCGU